rnacentral:rRNA from 1 species
UACGUAGGGUGCAAGCGUUGUCCGGAAUUAUUGGGCGUAAAGAGUUCGUAGGCGGUUUGUCGCGUCCGUUGUGAAAGCUUGGGGCUCAACCCCAAGUCUGCAGCGGAUACGGGCAGACUAGAGUCAGGUAGGGGAGAACGGAAUUCCUGGUGUAGCGGUGAAAUGCGCAGAUAUCAGGAGGAACACCGGUGGCGAAGGCGGUUCUCUGGGCCUGUACUGACGCUGAGGAACGAAAGCGUGGGGAGCGAACAGG